rnacentral:misc_RNA from 1 species
GAUGAAGAACGCAGCGAAAUGCGAUAAGUAAUGUGAAUUGCAGAAUUCAGUGAAUCAUCGAAUCUUUGAACGCACAUUGCGCCCCCUGGUAUUCCGGGGGGCAUGCCUGUUCGAGCGUCAUUUCACCACUCAAGCCUCGCUUGGUAUUGGGCAACGCGGUCCGCCGCGUGCCUCAAAUCGACCGGCUGGGUCUUCUGUCCCCUAAGCGUUGUGGAAACUUUCGCUAAAGGGUGUUCGGGAGGCUACGCCGUAAAACGACCCCAUUUCUAAGGUUGACCUCGGAUCAGGUAGGGAUACCCGCUGAACUUAAGCAUAUCAAUAAGCGGAGGA